rnacentral:tRNA from 1 species
GCCCGGAUGGUGAAAUCGGUAGACGCAAGGGACUUAAAAUCCCUCGGGGGUAACCCCGUGCCGGUUCGACCCCGGCUCCGGGCACCA